UAUUUUGGGUGUGCCCAGGUGUAUUUUGGGUGUGCCCAGGUGUGCCCAGGUGUAUUUUGGGUGUGCCCAGGUGUGCCCAGGUGUAUUUUGGGUGUGCCCAGGUGUAUUUUGGGUGUGCCCAGGUGUGCCCAGGUGUAUUUUGGGUGUGCCCAGGUGUAUCCCAGUUGUGCCCAGGUGUAUUUUGGGUGUGCCCAGGUGUGCCCAGGUGUAUCUCAGGUGUGCCCAGG